rnacentral:sRNA from 1 species
AAAGAAAACAAAGCAAACAUUAAAAGAAGUUCAGACUGUUACCUCUAUUCAAAAAGCAAGAAAAGUAUAUUGGUUUGAGAAAUUUCUAUGGUUCAUUAGCUCAGAGAACUAUCUAAUUAUAGGUGGACGAGAUCAGCAACAGAAUGAAAUAAUUGUGAAAAGAUACUUGACACCAGGAGAACCCAUCCCCCCACGGACCUUGACUGAAGCUGGCACAAUGGCACUUUGCUACAGUGCUGCUUGGGAUGCACGAGUUAUCACUAGUGCUUGGUGGGUGUACCAUCAUCAGGUAUCUAAAACAGCACCAACUGGAGAAUAUUUGACAACAGGAAGCUUCAUGAUAAGAGGAAAAAAGAAUUUUCUUCCUCCCUCAUACCUAAUGAUGGGGUUUAGCUUCCUUUUUAAGGUAGAUGAGUCUUGUGUUUGGAGACAUCAGGGUGAACGAAAAGUCAGAGUACAGGAUGAAGACAUGGAGACACUGGCAAGUUGUACAAGUGAACUCAUAUCAGAAGAAAUGGAACAAUUAGAUGGAGGUGACACUAGCAGUGAUGAGGAUAAAGAAGAACAUGAAAC